GAAAUGCGAUAAGUAAUGUGAAUUGCAGAAGUCAGUGAAUCAUCGAAUCUAUGAACGCACCUUGCGUUCCUUGGUAUUCCUUGGAGCAUGCCUGUUUGAGUAUCAUGAAAUCUUCAAAGUAAAUCUUUUGUUAACUCAAUUGGUUUCUACUUUGGUAUUGGAGGUCUUUGCAGCUUCACACCUGCUCCUCUUUGUUCAUUAGCUGGAUCUCAGUGUUAUGCUUGGUUCCACUCGGCGUGAUAAGUUAUCUAUCGCUGAGGACACUGUAAAAGGUGGCCAAGGUAAAUGCAGAUGAACCGCUUCUAAUAGUCCAUUGACUUGGACAAUACUUUUAUGAUCUGAUCUCAAAUCAGGUAGGACUACCCGCUGAACUUAAGC
rnacentral:misc_RNA from 1 species